rnacentral:rRNA from 1 species
AGAGUUUGAUCCUGGCUCAGGAUGAGCGCUGGCGGCGUGCCUAAUACAUGCAAGUCGAGCGAAUGGAUUAAGAGCUUGCUCUUAUGAAGUUAGCGGCGGACGGGUGAGUAACACGUGGGUAACCUGCCCAUAAGACUGGGAUAACUCCGGGAAACCGGGGCUAAUACCGGAUAACAUUUUGAACCGCAUGGUUCGAAAUUGAAAGGCGGCUUCGGCUGUCACUUAUGGAUGGACCCGCGUCGCAUUAGCUAGUUGGUGAGGUAACGGCUCACCAAGGCAACGAUGCGUAGCCGACCUGAGAGGGUGAUCGGCCACACUGGGACUGAGACACGGCCCAGACUCCUACGGGAGGCAGCAGUAGGGAAUCUUCCGCAAUGGACGAAAGUCUGACGGAGCAACGCCGCGUGAGUGAUGAAGGCUUUCGGGUCGUAAAACUCUGUUGUUAGGGAAGAACAAGUGCUAGUUGAAUAAGCUGGCACCUUGACGGUACCUAACCAGAAAGCCACGGCUAACUACGUGCCAGCAGCCGCGGUAAUACGUAGGUGGCAAGCGUUAUCCGGAAUUAUUGGGCGUAAAGCGCGCGCAGGUGGUUUCUUAAGUCUGAUGUGAAAGCCCACGGCUCAACCGUGGAGGGUCAUUGGAAACUGGGAGACUUGAGUGCAGAAGAGGAAAGUGGAAUUCCAUGUGUAGCGGUGAAAUGCGUAGAGAUAUGGAGGAACACCAGUGGCGAAGGCGACUUUCUGGUCUGUAACUGACACUGAGGCGCGAAAGCGUGGGGAGCAAACAGGAUUAGAUACCCU